AGUGAACGCUGGCGGUAGGCCUAACACAUGCAAGUCGAACGGCAGCACAGUAAGAGCUUGCUCUUACGGGUGGCGAGUGGCGGACGGGUGAGGAAUACAUCGGAAUCUACUUUUUCGUGGGGGAUAACGUAGGGAAACUUACGCUAAUACCGCAUACGACCUACGGGUGAAAGCAGGGGAUCUUCGGACCUUGCGCGGUUGAAUGAGCCGAUGUCGGAUUAGCUAGUUGGCGGGGUAAAGGCCCACCAAGGCGCCGAUCCGUAGCUGGUCUGAGAGGAUGAUAGGCGACAUGGGAACUGAGACAGGGUCCAGACUCCUACGGGAGGCAGCAGUGGGGAAUAUUGGGCAAUGGGCGCAAGCCUGAUCCAGCCAGACCGCGUGGGUGAAGAAGGCCUUCGGGUUGGAAAGCCCUUUUGUUGGGAAAGAAAAGCAGCAGGUUAAUACCACGCUGUACUGACGGUACCGAAAGAAUAAGCACCGGCUAACUUCGUG
rnacentral:rRNA from 1 species